rnacentral:misc_RNA from 2 species
AGAAAGGAGGUAAAACAUGUUCAAAA